UGCGUCACGGGGCGGGGGAGGGCAGCGGCGGUCUCGCUGUGGCCAUUAGCGGUGACCCUGCUGCUGCUGAGCAUUGUUGGUGCGGAGUAACGGUACCGGAUCCGCUCGGCGCGCUGCUGCCGUGCCAGGGGGCGGUUUCUCCACUUGAGGUGGAGGACGCGGCCGUGGGGAGAGGCCUGUGAGGUGCCGUGCCGUGCUGUGCCGCCUCCUCGUGCCACGACCGCGCAGCAGUGCCAGGCCCGUUAGGCAGCGGCACGCUGCUGCAGCCUGCUCGUAGCGCACCUCACGGCGCUAACGACCCGCAAGAGACGGCAGGAUUCCUUGAACGCCCCACCCAUGUGAUGGCGAAGGUUUUGCUUUUCCCUAACAACCGGGUGCUGGUGUAACCGUGCAGUGGGCAGCAGUGUGGGCCCAGAGCUGCUGCACGGGCAAAUCUGGGUGCGAAUUGGGGCAGAGCUUGGAGGACUGGCUCUCCGUGCAGCCAAGUCGAGGUUUAGAUCAGGAAGAAGGAGAGUGAGUGAAUGACCACAUGGUGCUGAGCCACUGCCAAGUUAAAUCACAACACCCUGUUGCGCUGCCAGACAAGCUGCUGCCCUGGGGCCUCAUUGCUGUGUGGUAACAAAGUUGACCUGCAACACUGCACCUGUGGGACCCGAUAGCACUAAGGUCAGCACCCCGCUGUGCUAAUAAAAAAAAUCCUUACAAACAUCUUA